UGUUUAUUUCUAGAAUUUUGCAUUUGCAUUAAGAAAGCAAUUUGCUCCUUCAACAUAUCAACUUUAGUUAUCAUUGUAUCUGUCUUACGCCUGACAAAAAACAGAUUUCUUGUCGUAUAUUUUUAACCGCCUAAUGUUAUCCUUUUUUUUCAGCAUUCUAUAGUCCUAUAAGAGAUAACAAUAUUUCUUGCUUGAAGAAAAUGCUGCAAUUAAAUCAAGUUUAAAACAUAACAAGGUGGUGUCUUUUGAAGAAAUUAGUCCAUUUAACAAAGGACAUGCAUAGACAUAUAAACAUAAAUAUAAAAUUCAAUUUUCAUGUAAAAUCUAAAACUAAAAAUUUAGUAUUAUGAAAAGGGAAAGUAGGUCUAAUGUAAUCAAAGGUCCUUUAGGAAACAUUGAUGUUGUUUAGGACCAACGGUGCACUUGGUAAACAAUAGUUCAAACUUGAAUUGAAU
rnacentral:lncRNA from 1 species